GGCGGGGCGCUUAUGCGUUAGCUGCGGCACGGAGAACGUGGAAUGUUCCCCACACCUAGCGCCCACCGUUUACGGCGUGGACUACCAGGGUAUCUAAUCCUGUUUGCUCCCCACGCUUUCGCUCCUCAGCGUCAGUUGUGGCCCAGAGACCUGCCUUCGCCAUCGGUGUUCCUCCUGAUAUCUGCGCAUUUCACCGCUACACCAGGAAUUCCAGUCUCCCCUACCACACUCAAGUCUGCCCGUAUCGGAUGCAGGCUCGGGGUUAAGCCCCGAGUUUUCACAACCGACGUAACAGACCGCCUACGAGCUCUUUACGCCCAAUAAAUCCGGACAACGCUUGCACCCUACGUAUUACCGCGGCUGCUGGCACGUAGUUAGCCGGUGCUUCUUCUGCAGGUACCGUCACCUUGCGGCUUCUUCCCUGCUGAAAGCGGUUUACAACCCGAAGGCCGUCAUCCCGCACGCGGCGUUGCUGCGUCAGGCUUUCGCCCAUUGCGCAAUAUUCCCCACUGCUGCCUCCCGUA
rnacentral:rRNA from 1 species